GAGCAAUGAACAAUGGGAAUUGUUGUCAUUGUGAUGGUGACCUCAGGUUUCGUUUUAGUGAACAGUCCACCGAUAUUGAUCAAAGGCCCGUCUUCCACUGAAGUGAAGUCUGCUCCGAUGACAUACUGCUGUGGGGAAAUCUCUCUGGGUAAGAGCCCAUACCCUAAUGUUGUGGUGGAUACCCGGUUAAACAAGAUUAUCAAAGAUGGGAUGCCACAUGUCUCAUGACCAGACUUUGCCCUUCCAGAGAUGUACACUAUAAUGGAGAUGUGCUAGAACCUGGAGCCAAUAGUGUAUCUAAACUUCAGUAACAUUGGUCAGCUUAUCCAGAGGCUACUGCUUGACCAGCCAGACCAGGUGAGUGACCAAGGACCUAAAUUAAGUAGAGAGUGUGUAUCCUAUUGUCAUAUUGUGUUGUUUUUACCUUACAUCAAAACUUACCAAAUUAACAAAAUCAGUGGAGGUUGUUUUUAGUCUUUGAACACCAAGGAAAGAAAUGAUAAGUAUAUGGACCAAUGUUUUUUACUGAAUUGUUUAGGGAACUCAAGUUCUCCAAAGUGAGACACACAAGCUGAAAUUAGUGACGUUUAAU